CCCUUAGAUGUCCUGGGCUGCACGCGCGCUACACUGAUGUGUCCAGUAAGCACCUAACCUCUUCCGAAAGGAACGGGUAACCUUUGCAAAGCACAUCGUGAUGGGGAUAGAUUAUUGCAAUUAUUAGUCUUGAACGAGGAAUUCCUAGUAAGCACAAGUCAUCAGCUUGUGUUGAUUACGUCCCUGCCCUUUGUACACACCGCCCGUCGCUCCUACCGAUUGAAUGUUCCGGUGAGCCAUUCGGACUUUCAUCAUGCUGGUUUCCAGUUUUGAUGAAGGAAAGUCUUGCGAACCUUAUCAUUUAGAGGAAGGAGAAGUCGUAACA
rnacentral:rRNA from 1 species